UCUUCUUCUUCUUCUUCUUCUUCUUCUUCUUCUUCUUCUAUCAAAUAUGUUUUUUUGCAAAAAAAUAUUUUAACAAAUUCUACAUCUUUUUUACAAACUUUUGAUUCAAUACAACUUUUUAUGGCAAUUUUUUUCGUUACCUUCAUCUGCUUCUUUUCCCAUCAAUGGUGAUAAUGGUUUUUAUUUGUAAUUAGAAACAUAUACGUGAAAAAAAUGUAAGGCUUUUUUUUUUGUUUAAAAAUUUGGAUUCCCAAAAAAAUAUAAUUUCUUUUAUUAAAAUUUAUUGAUUCUUUUAAAAUUUGCCUAAUAUACAAAAGUUNN
rnacentral:lncRNA from 1 species